rnacentral:lncRNA from 1 species
GCAUGGUGGGAAGAGAGUAGAGGAGAAUGAUUGUUCCUAGUGCACAAAGGUACAUGGGUAGCUUGCUGGUCAGGGAAUAAUUUUUCUAAACAUGAUCUUUUCUCAACAGAUCCAGUUUCACUGUUUCCACCUGGGCUGAUAAGGACGUGCCUCUCAGGAUCUUUGUGGAGUGCGUUCAGUGCCUGGCAUAGCACCUCAUGGGUCCAGCAUCAUCUCUACCCAGUAAGGCUUGCUUGAGUAACCGGGCAGGAUUUCUCCCCAUAUGCGAGAGGCCUUGCUUUGGAAAUCAAGACUCUGCCCUCAUGCAACUGUGGAUAGCUCUUGAAGCAUACUGGUUUUAUCACUAGAAAGCUGGAUUAUCCAGAGCCCAAAGAGGCUCUAGGAUAAAACUAGCACUUGAAACAGGAUCAUUCUAUAUAGAGAACUAAAGAACUAUUUCUUUGGUGUUGUCUCCAGAGGUGAACUUGCCAACAUACUGGAACUUUAAGAUUGUCAAUAAUUCAAGAUAGGUGU